rnacentral:rRNA from 1 species
GAUGAACGCUGGCGGCGUGCCUAAUACAUGCAAGUCGAGCGAACGGACGAGAAGCUUGCUUUUCUGAUGUUAGCGGCGGACGGGUGAGUAACACGUGGAUAACCUACCUAUAAGACUGGGAUAACUUCGGGAAACCGGAGCUAAUACCGGAUAAUAUUUUGAACCGCAUGGUUCAUAAGUGAAAGACGGUCUUGCUGUCACUUAUAGAUGGAUCCGCGCUGCAUUAGCUAGUUGGUAAGGUAACGGCUUACCAAGGCAACGAUGCAUAGCCGACCUGGGAGGGGGAUCGGCCACACUGGAACUGAGACACGGUCCAGACUCCUACGGGAGGCAGCAGUAGGGAAUCUUCCGCAAUGGGCGAAAGCCUGACGGAGCAACGCCGCGUGAGUGAUGAAGGUCUUCGGAUCGUAAAACUCUGUUAUUAGGGAAGAACAUAUGUGUAAGUAACUGUGCACAUCUUGACGGUACCUAAUCAGAAAGCCACGGCUAACUACGUG